rnacentral:lncRNA from 1 species
GGGGAAUCUGGGGAAGGUAGCUGGAAAUCUAUAAUCUUUGUGGUGGCUGGCGGGCAACAAUUUGUGGGCGUUACACCCUCAGGCACGGUGGCGGCACCACACUUGUUUACAUCCGGUGCCUGGAUGGGAGCCCCAAAGGCUAAUGGCUCAGUGGCGCCGAGGCCGCCAGCGGCACCAUACAGCCCUCCUAUGCCAAGAAGCACAUUCCUCCUAUCUAACUUCCCUGGGGAAGUUUCUCGAAUGUCGGAGGUAGAAUCCGAGUUUGGAUCACCAUUUGUAGAAUUGCACGACACUUUACUAGGAGCAGAUCUGUGGUUUCGAUUUCUGACUCCCCCGAGAAACCCUGUGAAACAAGGGAGAAGGUGACAAGGCCGAAAUGUUGGAGGUGGUGACGGUGGCGGUGGCGGUGGCGGUGGAGGUUGUGAGCUGCCAAGGCAAAGAAGCCAUAGCUUUAGAGGAGUUACGGGUGAUAAGUGAGACCGCUCUAUGGCCUCAGUCUCUGUACAGAAUGAACUGGGGUAGGUAGUACGUAUUCUUACCUUAGGGAUGUCGAGAAAACACUUGCCGUAGAAAAGUAAAUAAAUAAAAAGCUGAAAAGGACAAGGAAAACUGAUUUUCUGCACUGUAUAGGCCCCCCAUGGAAAUCUCCCAUUAUCCAUUUGGAAUCAUCCUAUUCCUUGCUUUAUCUUCAAUAUUGAUAAAUGCUGCUUCUUCAUGGAGUUAACAGCAACGAAAAAUAGUUCCUUAAUUAAUUAUUUGUCGAGAUUAAGAACAGACACUUCGAUUUUCCUCAAACAAAACACCAUGCACGUAUCUCUUUGUUGGAAACUUACACAUUUAGCUUCGCCAUUGAUAACACAAACACCCACUGCCUGCAUCUUCAUUUAUCACGUAACUGCAUAAAUGCUUAUUUAAAUUACAUGAAUAUAUAAUUUUAAUCUCAAAAAAAAAUGCAGCAACUCCCCACAUGAUUUUUUUUUCCCUUUUUUGUUUUUCUCUCUUGAUAUUUAGAGAUAAAGGCAGCUAAGAUUCGCCACGUUAUAUUCCUCUACGAUAGAGAAACCUUUGUCACUCCUCUCACUGGGUCAACAGUAGAUAUCAUCUUUGUGGUCCAUAAACAACGUGACAUUUGGAUUAUUAGUCUGUAUUUUUAUGAGUCUUCCGUGCAUCAAUUUUUUUGGUAUUUUAGAUAAUGGUAGAUUUUGAGGAAGAGAAAGACAACAUGACAUUUAAUUCUUGUUUUAUACUACAAACUUGUGCUAGAUAUUAUAAGAAGGGUUUUGAGUAUGAUCAACCUAAGCGUUUCCUAAUUAAAAAAUAAUUUUCUUUUCCAAAAAUAGAACUUAAAAACCAUUUUUAAAAGUUUAAAACGUGACUAAUUUUAUUAAUUUAAUAAAUAUUUCUGAUAAAAAUUAUUUUUUUAGUUAUUUAAUAUAUUAUCCAAAACACCUAAAUUAUGUACAAUGGAAGUCAUAUAAGUUAAAUGAUCAAAUUAAUGUCAAUACAUAAAAAGGGGUAACAAAUAAAAUAUCAUAACUAAAACUUAAUUUGUUACUUUAUGUUUUAUUUGUAGGACUCAAUCCCAAUAGUUAUAACAAGUAUAAAUUGUUUUCCAUUAUUUUUUUAUUUUAAUAAUCGUGGAUUUCUGAUCCAGUUUAUACACACCUCAACUAAUCCCACGGGGAGCAAACCUAAUACCGGACCAACUGAGCUACCCCUCAAGCCUAUUGUUUUGCAUCAUUUUUACAUCGUAUAAUUAUAUAACAAGUAGUCAUCAAAUGUAUUACAAAUAGUUAUUGAUAUUAAAUCUAAAAAAAAAAGGGUAUUUAAAUUGGCAUUUGCUAUGUAAAUAGCAUAAAAGAAAUUAGGAAAAGUAGGAAGAAGAAAAAUAGUAUACUUCCAAUUAUUGAUUUGAAAAUCUAGCCCAUGAUCUUGGAUAUCCCAUAAUAUAUUUAGCAACUUCUUGAAUCCUCUUAAAGAAACCAAAAACUCUUUUCUAAAUCUAAUAUAUUUGUUUAAUUUUGUUUAAAGAACUUAUAAUUAAAAAAAUAACAUAAAAAUGAGAUAAAUAUUAUUUCUUAUAAAAAAAUAUUUUAAAUUGUACAAAAAGUUGUUUGAUUUUUUAUGAAUUAUUUAUAACCCCCCAUAUUAUCUUAUAAAAGUUGUAAAUUUAACUUCAAUUUCCACUUCAAUCUAAAGCAAAUAAAAGGCGCAGGAAACUAACACCAAUUAAAAACCCCUUAAAUUUAAACCAAACAGCUCUAAAUUAAUAAAAGACUUGACGGGAGAGUACAGAGAAGUCUCACAUUUUCCAUUAGUCACAUAAAGAUGUGACUUACCUGAUACAUACAUAUAAUGGAUAAUCAUUGAAAGGUGGGAUCAAUCGGAAACAAACUCGAUCUCAAUUCCACCAAUGGUGACAUCAUCGCCCCCAGCACGAGGGACUAUAGUCACGAUCACACUCUCAUCAUCUUCGGCUCCCAAGUCCUCUAACAGCUCAUUUAUCGCCAACCUCAGAUUGGUCUUCGUCUUCAUUUCUUUCAUAUGCUUGUGUGGUACGUUCACAAAGCUUCCUGCAAACUCACUAUUCUUAGGCCUACUCACUGAAUAAUCUUCGUCGUUGAUGUACACAUCAAACUUCACGAAAUUCUCUCUAUCUAGCUCUAUUCCUUUUAUCAGUAACACCUCUUCCUCGUCCUCUUUCUCCUUCUUGCUUCUUGAUUUCUUUGGCCUUGGAACUUCUACUCUUAUCACUGAGUUAAGAGCUUUUGGGAAGUCUCCGAUGCUGCUGAUCGUCGUCUUUGGGAGUUCGGCCGCUUUCGCUACUCCCGACUUGGAACUUUUGGUGGUCGUCUUCGCUUUGGCCUUCGUAUUUUUUGGUAGCCAUGGGAUUGAAUAUCCUGAUAUUGGUAUCUCAGCUUGGAAGUGUCGACACAGUCCGAGACCUUGACUUUAACAAGUNNNNNNNNNNNNNNNNNNNNNNNNNNNNNNNNNNNNNNNNNNNNNNNNNNNNNNNNNNNNNNNNNNNNNNNNNNNNNNNNNNNNNNNNNNNNNNNNNNNNCAUUGAAGUNGAGAUAGUAACGGUGGAAAGGGAGGAAAAGCCAUGAAGCAUGAACCUGGAGUUCUAGGUCGGUAUACCCAACCUGAUCAUAAGCCCCUUGGCAAUAGGUGCAAUGGACAUUAGCCUGUUGCUUGAAACUACGCGGAUCAUCAUCAGGAAGAGCUUUCUGCAGCUCAAUGGCCUUUUUAUACUUGGCUAAGUACUCUUUGCUGACCAAGUGAGCAGCUGGCCUGGUACGCAUGGGGGAACCUGAGGAAGGUAGCUGGAAAUCUAUAAUCUUUGUGGUGACUGGCGGGCAACAAUUGUGGGCGUUACACCAUCAGGCACGGUGGCGGUACCACACUUGGAUAUAUCCGGUGCCUGGAUGGGAGCCCCAAAGGCUAAUGGCUUAGUGGCGCCGAGACCGGCAGCAGCACCAUACAGCCCUCCUAUGCCAAGAAGCACAUUCCUCCUAUCUAACUUCCCUGGGGAAGUUUCUCGAAUGUCGGAGGUAGAAUCCGAGUUUGGAUCACCAUUCGCAGCAUUGCACGACACCUUACUAGGAGCAAAUCUGCGGCUUCGGUUUCUGGCUAUGGGGACAUGAGAAACCCUGUGAAACAAGGGAGAAGGUGGCAAGGCUGAAAUGUUGGUGGUGUUGGCGAUGGCGGUGGAGGUUGUGAGCGACCAAGGCAAAGAAGCCAUAGCUUUAGAGGAGAAGUGAUGAGUGAUAACGCGCUAAGGCCUCGGUCUCCAUAUAUAAUGAAGAGGGGUAGGCAUUUUUACCUUGGAGAAUCGAGAUGCUGGGAAAAUGCUUGUCGUAGAAAAGUCGAUAAAUAAAAAGAUGAGAAGGACAAGGAAAAUUGAUUUUCUGCAUCCGCGUGGGCCCCGGAAAUCUCCCACUAUCCAUUUGUAGCCUUGCUUUUGCUACAUGCUUAUCUUCAAUAUUGACUGUAAAUGCUGCAUCGUCGUAUGGAUUACAAAUUUAUAAGUGCGAAUUUUAUAAGUUUAAGAUUUCAGACACGUGUUGUGAGUGCAGAGAAAAAGGAGGGGUGGAUUUUUGGGAUUUAUGUUUGUGGUUUAUUAGACGACGUCAUAUGGAUUAUAAGUGCGAAUCUUAUAACUUUAAGAUUUCAGACACGUGUUGUAUUGGUUGGCAAUCAUAAGAUUCCGUACCUACCUUGAUAAAAUUAUGUUAUAUUAAAUAUAAAGUAAAUUGUUUUAAUAAAAUUAAACAAAAAUAUUUUUAUAUCAAAUUAAAAAUAUCAAUAGUAUAAUUUCAUAUAUUAUUUUUUAAAAAAAUCAUAUAAGUUUAUUAACUACUUACAUAUUUUUAAUAAAUAUAAAAUAAAAAUAAUAUAAUACAUUUAUUUUAAAAAAUAAGUUUAUGACCAUAGUUGAUAAUUACAACUUUAAAAUCAAAUUCAAAAUAAUAGUUAUCAAUUAUGAUUUUNNNNNNNNNNNNNNNNNNNNNNNNNNNNNNNNNNNNNNNNNNNNNNNNNNNNNNNNNNNNNNNNNNNNNNNNNNNNNNNNNNNNNNNNNNNNNNNNNNNNAGCCAUGAAGCAUGAACCUGGAGUUCUAGGUCGGUAUACCCAACCUGAUCAUAAGCCCCUUGGCAAUAGGCGCAAUGGACAUUGGCCUGUUGCUUGAAACUACGCGGAUCAUCAUCAGGAAGAGCUUUCUGCAGCUCAAUGGCCUUUUUAUACUUGGCUAAGUACUCUUUGCUGACCAAGUGAGCAGCUGGCCUGGUACGCAUGGGGGAAUCUGAGGAAGGUAGCUGGAAAGGUAUAGGCUUUGUGGUGACUGGCGGGCAACAAUUUGUGGGAAUUACACCAUUAGGCACGGUGGCGGUACCACACUUGCGUAUAUCCGGUGCCUGGAUGGGAGCCCCAAAGGCUAAUGGCUUAGUGGCGCCGAGACCGGCAGCAGCACCAUACAGCCCUCCUAUGCCAAGAAGCACAUUCCUCCUAUCUAACUUCCCUGGGGAAGUUUCUCGAAUGUCGGAGGUAGAAUCCGAGUUUGGAUCACCAUUCGCAGCAUUGCACGACACCUUACUAGGAGCAAAUCUGCGGCUUCGGUUUCUGGCUAUGGGGACAUGAGAAACCCUGUGAAACAAGGGAGAAGGUGGCAAGGCUGAAAUGUUGGUGGUGUUGGCGAUGGCGGUGGAGGUUGUGAGCGACCAAGGCAAAGAAGCCAUAGCUUUAGAGGAGAAGUGAUGAGUGAUAACGCGCUAAGGCCUCGGUCUCCAUAUAUAAUGAAGAGGGGUAGGCAUUUUUACCUUGGAGAAUCGAGAUGCUGGGAAAAUGCUUGUCGUAGAAAAGUCGAUAAAUAAAAAGAUGAGAAGGACAAGGAAAAUUGAUUUUCUGCAUCCGCGUGGGCCCCGGAAAUCUCCC